GUAGUCGGAUUUGCUUUAAUCCACAUGUGUUGGGGUGGAACUUGGUUCAAAUUCCAUUUCAACACAUGUGGAUUGAGGUGAAUCCGACA
rnacentral:pre_miRNA from 1 species